GAACUGAAGAGUUUGAUCAUGGCUCAGAUUGAACGCUGGCGGCAGGCCUAACACAUGCAAGUCGAGCGGAUGAAGGGAGCUUGCUC
rnacentral:rRNA from 1 species